AGCUCUUAAAAAUACAUUGAACGCGGCAUUUGAAAAGUGGUCAAAGGUAACCAAGCUGAAAUUUCGAUACGUGGACAGUGCGGACGCUGAAAUUCAAGUGGUGUUUGGAAGCGACGAAAUAAACUGCGAAAAUGGCAAAAAAUUAACAUAUUCCAAUGAUAAACAAUUUGGAUGCGCAUUCCUACCGGGAGACAUCAAAAAUGGCGGUGAUGUGUACUUCUAUGAGGCAAAUUGGAGGCCAGAAAAUGAUAGCAGUGGAAGACCACUACUACCAGCAGCAGUAUACGCGUUCGGAUAUGCAAUCGGAUUAAAAAAUGCAACGUUUGACAAGAAUGGCGAAAUAUCGGCGUCGGAAAUAAAUGAAGUGCAGAAAAUUUACAAUCCAUUCCGUGCAAAGCCUUGGACAAUGUUGACAAAUUAAAAGGCCUCAUUUCACUGAAAAUGGAGAGUCAAUUGAAAAAGAAAUACUUUUAAGAAGACAGGGACAUUUUAAACUGAAUUGCCCAUUUUUAUAGCGCGAAAUAUAAACAAAUAUCAUAUUUUCGUGAGAUAAAUUUGCAUACCGUAUAACACAAAAAAUAGUUUUGCUUUUCGUUUGUAAUAUCCCAUAAAAUGCAUCCGCGGUAGAAAAUAGGCACUUGUGCUUAUUCUGGCGCUUA